CCGAAUUUUAAACUAAGAGUAUGGCGAAGAAAUUAUAAAGUUGUACAGAAAAAAAAUACACAUUACAAAAGCCCUCCGCCGGUUAGGUUAUUGAAUUCAAUAAUUACAAGAGAAGCUAUUUUGUGUAUCAUAGUUCGUCUUCUUUUAUUUUUCCAACUGCAUGCAUAUAAUUUACUUCGGCAUAAAUUUCACAUCCAAUAAAUCAAAAAAAAAAAUUGUUACUAAUGAUAAACCAAAAGUUUG